UUAGUAUUAAAAUAUUUAUGCGGGUUUUACUUUUGUUGGUGUGCCUACAUUUUUCUGGCUAGCUUUGUAUGUUAGAUUUAUUGAGAUUAGGCAUGUCCCGGGCAGACAGUGAGGACAUAUCAAUGAGACAAAUUAAAGCGGGGCAGGCAGACUGUGAGGGUGCCUGCGGGACAGGCAGACUGUGAGGGUGCCUGCGGGCAGGGCCGGACUGGGGAUACGAAGCAGCCCUGGAAAAAAAUCUAUGCCAG